UUGUCGUUUAAUGCUUAACCAAUAAUCGAAAGAGCUACACAAACUCUUGAAUGUAGAUUAACUAUACAUCUCAUAAAAAUAACAGACGCGUGCUCAUUAACUUCUGUUUUCAUUUUCUUUUUCUCUUUGUCUACACAUUGAGAUGUUCCUCUAAUUCAACAGAGAUCUACAGAGUUUUCUUGCACAGGAUGAGCGAUUAAGAAAUGGGGAAAAAAGGGGUUGGUUCUCUGCUUUCAGGAAAGCUCUCAGACCUAAGAAAUCCAAAUCAAAGAAGCAAGAGAAGGAUCCAGAUCCAGUUGUUUCUUCAUAUGAAGAAACUGCAUUAGCUGCUUCUGUGCCUCCUCCUCCUCCUCCACCUCGCCCUGCAGUAGAUGUUAAAUUAACUGAAGCUGAGAGUGAGCAGAGCAAGCAUGCGUACUCUGUGGCACUUGCCACCGCUGUGGCUGCUGAGGCAGCUGUUGCUGCUGCCCAAGCUGCUGCUGAGGUUGUUCGGCUUACUAGUACGGCACGUUACUCUGGAAAAUCAAGAGAGGAAGUAGCAGCUAUUAAGAUUCAAACGGCAUUUAGAGGAUACUUGGUGCAUUCCAUUUUACUUUCCUUUCCACUGAACGAUGACGUUAGCUAAUUGAAAGGCACCGAGCAUCACGUAAUUGGUCUUUUUAAAAUAGGAAAAUAUUCUAAAUGAAGAAUAUAAUAAUAAAAUAAAUUAAAUAGACCAUCUUAUAUAAUUAUUAAAUAGUAGUUAACGAAGAGAUGUAAUUCUUUUAUUUAAAUAUU